rnacentral:rRNA from 1 species
UAAGCGACUAAGCGUACACGGUGGAUGCCCUGGCAGUCAGAGGCGAUGAAGGACGUGCUAAUCUGCGAUAAGCGUCGGUAAGGUGAUAUGAACCGUUAUAACCGGCGAUUUCCGAAUGGGGAAACCCAGUGUGAUUCGUCACACUAUCAUUAACUGAAUCCAUAGGUUAAUGAGGCGAACCGGGGGAACUGAAACAUCUAAGUACCCCGAGGAAAAGAAAUCAACCGAGAUUCCCCCAGUAGCGGCGAGCGAACGGGGAGCAGCCCAGAGCCUGAAUCAGUGUGUGUGUUAGUGGAAGCGUCUGGAAAGGCGCGCGAUACAGGGUGACAGCCCCGUACACAAAAAUGCACAUGCUGUGAGCUCGAUGAGUAGGGCGGGACACGUGGUAUCCUGUCUGAAUAUGGGGGGACCAUCCUCCAAGGCUAAAUACUCCUGACUGACCGAUAGUGAACCAGUACCGUGAGGGAAAGGCGAAAAGAACCCCGGCGAGGGGAGUGAAAAAGAACCUGAAACCGUGUACGUACAAGCAGUGGGAGCACGCUUAAUCUGUGUGACUGCGUACCUUUUGUAUAAUGGGUCAGCGACUUAUAUUCUGUAGCAAGGUUAACCGAAUAGGGGAGCCGAAGGGAAACCGAGUCUUAACUGGGCGUUAAGUUGCAGGGUAUAGACCCGAAACCCGGUGAUCUAGCCAUGGGCAGGUUGAAGGUUGGGUAACACUAACUGGAGGACCGAACCGACUAAUGUUGAAAAAUUAGCGGAUGACUUGUGGCUGGGGGUGAAAGGCCAAUCAAACCGGGAGAUAGCUGGUUCUCCCCGAAAGCUAUUUAGGUAGCGCCUCGUGAAUUCAUCUCCGGGGGUAGAGCACUGUUUCGGCAAGGGGGUCAUCCCGACUUACCAACCCGAUGCAAACUGCGAAUACCGGAGAAUGUUAUCACGGGAGACACACGGCGGGUGCUAACGUCCGUCGUGAAGAGGGAAACAACCCAGACCGCCAGCUAAGGUCCCAAAGUCAUGGUUAAGUGGGAAACGAUGUGGGAAGGCCCAGACAGCCAGGAUGUUGGCUUAGAAGCAGCCAUCAUUUAAGAAAGCGUAAUAGCUCACUGGUCGAGUCGGCCUGCGCGGAAGAUGUAACGGGGCUAAACCAUGCACCGAAGCUGUCGGCAGCGACGCUGAUGCGUUGUUGGGUAGGGGAGCGUUCUGUAAGCCUGCGAAGGUGUGCUGUGAGGCAUGCUGGUAGGUAUCAGAAGUGCGAAUGCUGACAUAAGUAACGAUAAAGCGGGUGAAAAGCCCGCUCGCCGGAAGACCAAGGGUUCCUGUCCAACGUUAAUCGGGGCAGGGUGAGUCGACCCCUAAGGCGAGGCCGAAAGGCGUAGUCGAUGGGAAACAGGUUAAUAUUCCUGUACUUGGUGUUACUGCGAAGGGGGGACGGAGAAGGCUAUGUUGGCCGGGCGACGGUUGUCCCGGUUUAAGCGUGUAGGCUGGUUUUCCAGGCAAAUCCGGAAAAUCAAGGCUGAGGCGUGAUGACGAGGCACUACGGUGCUGAAGCAACAAAUGCCCUGCUUCCAGGAAAAGCCUCUAAGCAUCAGGUAACAUCAAAUCGUACCCCAAACCGACACAGGUGGUCAGGUAGAGAAUACCAAGGCGCUUGAGAGAACUCGGGUGAAGGAACUAGGCAAAAUGGUGCCGUAACUUCGGGAGAAGGCACGCUGAUAUGUAGGUGAAGCGACUUGCUCGUGGAGCUGAAAUCAGUCGAAGAUACCAGCUGGCUGCAACUGUUUAUUAAAAACACAGCACUGUGCAAACACGAAAGUGGACGUAUACGGUGUGACGCCUGCCCGGUGCCGGAAGGUUAAUUGAUGGGGUUAGCGCAAGCGAAGCUCUUGAUCGAAGCCCCGGUAAACGGCGGCCGUAACUAUAACGGUCCUAAGGUAGCGAAAUUCCUUGUCGGGUAAGUUCCGACCUGCACGAAUGGCGUAAUGAUGGCCAGGCUGUCUCCACCCGAGACUCAGUGAAAUUGAACUCGCUGUGAAGAUGCAGUGUACCCGCGGCAAGACGGAAAGACCCCGUGAACCUUUACUAUAGCUUGACACUGAACAUUGAGCCUUGAUGUGUAGGAUAGGUGGGAGGCUUUGAAGUGUGGACGCCAGUCUGCAUGGAGCCGACCUUGAAAUACCACCCUUUAAUGUUUGAUGUUCUAACGUUGACCCGUAAUCCGGGUUGCGGACAGUGUCUGGUGGGUAGUUUGACUGGGGCGGUCUCCUCCUAAAGAGUAACGGAGGAGCACGAAGGUUGGCUAAUCCUGGUCGGACAUCAGGAGGUUAGUGCAAUGGCAUAAGCCAGCUUGACUGCGAGCGUGACGGCGCGAGCAGGUGCGAAAGCAGGUCAUAGUGAUCCGGUGGUUCUGAAUGGAAGGGCCAUCGCUCAACGGAUAAAAGGUACUCCGGGGAUAACAGGCUGAUACCGCCCAAGAGUUCAUAUCGACGGCGGUGUUUGGCACCUCGAUGUCGGCUCAUCACAUCCUGGGGCUGAAGUAGGUCCCAAGGGUAUGGCUGUUCGCCAUUUAAAGUGGUACGCGAGCUGGGUUUAGAACGUCGUGAGACAGUUCGGUCCCUAUCUGCCGUGGGCGCUGGAGAAUUGAGGGGGGCUGCUCCUAGUACGAGAGGACCGGAGUGGACGCAUCACUGGUGUUCGGGUUGUCAUGCCAAUGGCACUGCCCGGUAGCUAAAUGCGGAAGAGAUAAGUGCUGAAAGCAUCUAAGCACGAAACUUGCCCCGAGAUGAGUUCUCCCUGACUCCUUGAGAGUCCUGAAGGAACGUUGAAGACGACGACGUUGAUAGGCCGGGUGUGUAAGCGCAGCGAUGCGUUGAGCUAACCGGUACUAAUGAACCGUGAGGCUUAACCU